GAGCGACCUGCUUAGAAGCUUGCUUCUAUGACGUUAGCGGCGGACGGGUGAGUAACACGUGGGCAACCUGCCUGUAAGACUGGGAUAACUUCGGGAAACCGAAGCUAAUACCGGAUAGGAUCUUCUCCUUCAUGGGAGAUGAUUGAAAGAUGGUUUCGGCUAUCACUUACAGAUGGGCCCGCGGUGCAUUAGCUAGUUGGUGAGGUAACGGCUCACCAAGGCAACGAUGCAUAGCCGACCUGAGAGGGUGAUCGGCCACACUGGGACUGAGACACGGCCCAGACUCCUACGGGAGGCAGCAGUAGGGAAUCUUCCGCAAUGGACGAAAGUCUGACGGAGCAACGCCGCGUGAGUGAUGAAGGCUUUCGGGUCGUAAAACUCUGUUGUUAGGGAAGAACAAGUACGAGAGUAACUGCUCGUACCUUGACGGUACCUAACCAGAAAGCCACGGCUAACUACGUGCCAGCAGCCGCGGUAAUACGUAGGUGGCAAGCGUUAUCCGGAAUUAUUGGGCGUAAAGCGCGCGCAGGCGGUUUCUUAAGUCUGAUGUGAAAGCCCACGGCUCAACCGUGGAGGGUCAUUGGAAACUGGGGAACUUGAGUGCAGAAGAGAAAAGCGGAAUUCCACGUGUAGCGGUGAAAUGCGUAGAGAUGUGGAGGAACACCAGUGGCGAAGGCGGCUUUUUGGUCUGUAACUGACGCUGAGGCGCGAAAGCGUGGGGAGCAAACAGGAUUAGAUACCCUGGUAGUCCACGCCGUAAACGAUGAGUGCUAAGUGUUAGAGGGUUUCCGCCCUUUAGUGCUGCAGCUAACGCAUUAAGCACUCCGCCUGGGGAGUACGGUCGCAAGACUGAAACUCAAAGGAAUUGACGGGGCCCGCACAAGCGGUGGAGCAUGUGGUUUAAUUUCGAAGCAACGCGAAGAACCUUACCAGGUCUUGACAUCCUCUGACACUCUAGAGAUAGGAGCGUUCCCCUUCGGGGACAGAGUGACAGGUGGUGCAUGGUUGUCGUCAGGCUCGUGUCCGUGAGAUGUGGUAAGUUCCGCAACGAGCGCACCCUUGAUCUUAGUUGCCAGCAAUCAGUGGCACUCUAUGUACUGCCGUGACCAUCGGAGGAGUAGAUGACGUCAAUCAUCAUGGCCUAUUACCCUGGGGCUUAUCACAACGU
rnacentral:rRNA from 2 species